AAUAUCAAAUAUAAGUUUUGCAGCUUGUCAAUUUUUCGUCAUGAGUCCUGGCUUGCCACCACCGUAAACUUGGCUGCCGCAGCCAAGUGAAUCGGAAUCUGAUUCCUCGAGUGAAUCAGAUUCCGAGCCUUCACUUGAGGACGGAAUCUACACAGGUGAUUUUGGAUUCUCGAGCGAGUCAGAAUCCGAUUCAGAGUCAGAUUCGGAUUUGGAGUCGGAGGCAAAGAAGCAAAAGGUUAAUGAGGAGGAGGAGGAGGAAGGUGAUGCAUCGAGCGGCUACGUAAGAUUGGAGCCUUUACCAAUGGAGCAUGAUUAUACAAAAUGUUUCUGCAAGAUUAAUAUGCCAGAUUCAGAGUCAGAUGAUGAGGAGUAUGUGAUUGAUAAAGAUUGCUGGAACAAGUAUUUGCAACAGCUCAAUGAGAGUCAGAAUCGCGGGAAAGAGUGGGUAUGCUAAUAAAAAUAAACCAAAUGCGAAAAACAACACCAUUUUAAGUGGUACUUACAAGCAAAUACAUUCUUGGAUGCUUGUCUGGGAUUCGACAUUAAAGAUUAUCCUGGUCAUUUUCCAGCGACUACCGUAUUCCCCAGUCCAAACUACUUGAAAAUUCCUGAUAAUGUUGAGAAGAUGAAGGGUUAUGCUGCAGAGGCAUUUAAGCAGUACAAUGAGAGAUUUGAAACUAAAUAUGAGGUCAAUGAGAUUCUCAAGGUUAAUCGAGAUGAGUGCGGCACAUACUUAAUUUUCUAUGUUACCUUUACGGUUACCAAUGGCGAGAAUGAAGGAAUAUUUUCAAGCUAAAGUGGUGAGGCGUAUGGGUGGAUCUUUGCAUUUCUCAAUCGUUAGGCCAAGGGCAAAUGGAGCCUUGGGCAUAUAGUGGAUGUGAAGUCUGUGCAUCGUUUUGGCUCGGAUUCACGCUUUAGUUUUGCGUUAACCUAUGGAUCAAUAGGGGGUUCGAUCGUCGGAGUGCGUUUUGAGCAAAAUUUCUUGGGCGCUCACCUAACAACUAAUUAAAUGUAACGUUUUUUUUUUUGGGAGGAGGGGGAGGUUUUUUUUUAGCCAUAUGAGCAAAAUACUAAAAACUAAGGAUUUUUGGGAAUUUUUUAUUUGUGUUAAUUAGCAUACGGAUUGUGUUGGUUUGGGGGGUUGGCGGAGAUUUUUUAAGCCACAUGAGCGAAAUUUGAAACACUGAAUAUUCUUUUGCGAUUUAUUGUGUGUGUUAGCCUAUGGA